rnacentral:rRNA from 1 species
GAUGAACGCUGGCGGCGUGCCUAAUACAUGCAAGUCGAGCGAACAGACGAGGCGCUUGCUCCUCUGACGUUAGCGGCGGACGGGUGAGUAACACGUGUAUAACCUACCUAUAUGACUGGGAUCACUUCGGGACACCGGCGCUUAUACCGUAUAAUAUCUUGCACCGCAUUGUUCAAUAGUGAAUGACGGUUUUGCUGUCUCUUCUAGCUGGUUCCGGGCCGCAUUAGAUAGUUGUUACGGUAACGGCUUACCAAGGCUACGAUGCGUAGACGACCUGAGAGGGGGAUAGGCCACACGGGAAGGGGGACACGGUCCAGACGCCUAAGGGAGGCAGCAGUAGGGAAUGGUCCGCAGUGGGCGGAAGCAUGACGGAGCAAGGCCGCGUGAGUGAUGAAGGUCUUGGGAUCGUAAAACUCUGUUAUUAGGGAAGAACAGAUGUGGAAGGAACUAUGCACGUAUUGACGGUAACGGAUCAGAAAGCAACGGCUAACUACGUG